GCGUGCGUUGGCUGGGGAGGCGGAGUCUUGUGGUGUUAGAGGACAUCUCGAGGACUUUGCUGAAAAGCUGAGAAUCCUGGAAUCUGGUAGAAUUUGUGGAUUACUUCAGGGGUGAUUGUCUGCAAAGAAGCCAUUUUAGGGUCUGUCUUCAGGGCUUGACGUGGAGUCCCUCUGCUCAGUAAAAGGAUAUAGCCAUGGUAAU